UACGAAGGGGGCUAGCGUUGUUCGGAAUUACUGGGCGUAAAGCGCGCGCAGGCGGUUUUUCAAGUCAGUGGUGAAAGCCCGGGGCUCAACCCCGGAACUGCCAUUGAAACUGUUGAACUUGAGGACGAGAGAGGUGAGUGGAAUUCCCAGUGUAGAGGUGAAAUUCGUAGAUAUUGGGAAGAACACCAGUGGCGAAGGCGGCUCACUGGCUCGUUUCUGACGCUCAGGCGCGAUAGCGUGGGGAUCAAACAGG
rnacentral:rRNA from 1 species